UGUGGCCAGUGUGGCUCGAACACACGGCCUUCAGAUAUUCCUAUUGGACUUGAAGUUUGACUUCAGUCUGACGCUCUCCCAGCUGAGCUAUGGCCAC